UGGUUGCCUUCCUGGGAUAUGCCAUCAGAAGUAGUACUAUGAGGGAACGGUGAAAAGAACCCCCAUCGAGGAGUAAUAUAGAGCAUGAAACCA
rnacentral:rRNA from 1 species